rnacentral:lncRNA from 1 species
GGUUGCUGCUCUUUGCUCAUUGCCAACAAUGGCAUCUUUACUUGUAUUCAGCCACGCAGAGAUCAAGACUAAAUAUUCUUUCACUGUCCACUUGUUCCUCUUUCUUGGUGUGGAUUUAGCUUUGGCGCUUCCACCUUGACUUGUAGCAUCUGUCCAUUAGGUGCUGUAGGCAGGGACUUCAGAUUCACCAAGGUUAAUACUUGAUGAUGCUGACACAUAAGUAUUGGAGAAUGGACUAGGCGUUUCUUGUUGACUUGUUAACAGCUCCAUGAAGUUUCCAGAGUUAGUAUAUGGAUUCAUUUAGAGAGUUUUAGAGGGUUUACAAAGGGAAAGAAAGAGAUCUGCUGGAAGAACUGAAGCAACAGAAUGAGAGAAUGAAAGAAAUUUCUGAGAAUAUGAAAUAGAAUGAGAGUUUCUGUGAGUUUUAAAAGUAUUAUCAAUAUAGGGUUAGAUUUAUUACAGGGUUAUUGUUUAUUUACAGUUGAAGUUAGCAUUCAAUGGAAGACUUAAUUAUAAACCUAAUGAAAAGCAAACAAGCAUUGAACACAUACAAGUAUAAUCACUACACAAAGCAUUUAUCUGAUGUAGACAUUCUAAUUCAAUUUUAGUUAGACAAAUAGCAAACAAUUAAAGACACUCUAAAAGCAUCUAUCACAAACUGACACAACCAACAACACUCAAGUCUCACCUAAUCUUAAUGAAGACUAAUCAAUGUUCUAAAUGGAGUUAAAGAUAGCAUUGACUUACCCUAAUGUCUGGCCAUUAAACUGGUCCACGCAGCUUCUCAGUUCUCUCGCCAUAUCUCUUCCAUAUGCAGCAGCACACUCCUCUCAAUUAUCUCACCAGUUUCCCAAUAAUGACAUAUAACAGAGAACAAUAAAUCAAUCUAAGAGAUAAAUAGCAAACAGAGAACAAUAAAUCAAACUAAUAACAUUUGAUCCUCACAAAAUCGAUUAACAUUUGUUAUUCAAAAUCUCAUAUAAACCUAACAGAGUAUUAAUCAUCACAAUCAUCUCAUAUAAACCUAACAGAGUAUUAAUCAUCACAAUCGAUUAACAUUUGUUAUUCACAAUCAUCCACACGGAUCAAAAACAGAGUAUUAAUCAUCACAAUCAUCCAUCAUGAAUAAAAUUAAUCAACAUCAUGAAUGAAAUUAAGAUCCAACAGAGUAUUAAGCAUCACAAUCAUCCACAUGGAUCAAAAAACUGAGUAUUAAGAUCCAACAAACUAUUAACAAGUCUAUUUUCUUUACAUUCAUGCCUUACAAUACAGAGACACACACAAUGCAGCUUCCAAUUAGCCAAAUACUAGAGUUAACAACGAAAAACAUAUUUUUCCCAAAUCCCGAAAUCCUAAUUUCACAAAUCUGAAGAACCCUAAUUUGAAAACUCUUUUAAUACAU